rnacentral:rRNA from 2 species
UGGCUCAGGACCGAACGCUGGCGGCAUGCCUAAUACAUGCAAGUCGAACGAGCUUCCGUUGAAUGACGUGCUUGCACUGAUUUCAACAAUGAAGCGAGUGGCGAACUGGUGAGUAACACGUGGGAAAUCUGCCCAGAAGCAGGGGAUAACACUUGGAAACAGGUGCUAAUACCGUAUAACAACAAAAUCCGCAUGGAUUUUGUUUGAAAGGUGGCUUCGGCUAUCACUUCUGGAUGAUCCCGCGGCGUAUUAGUUAGUUGGUGAGGUAAAGGCCCACCAAGACGAUGAUACGUAGCCGNCCUGAGAGGGGAAUCGGCCACAUUGGGACUGAGACCCCGGCCCCCU